rnacentral:lncRNA from 1 species
GGAAACAAUGGCUUGAAACGAAAUAAAUCUUUGUUUGUAAUGAGUUAUGUGCAGCUUCGGACCAAAGUACAUGGUUGGAACUUUCAUUGUACAAUGCAUUUGGUUCUGCUUUGAAAAGAAUUACAGAGCUGAGUCUAUGUACCAUAUUAUAUAAAAGUUUAAGUGGUUGUUAGGACCUAGUCCUUAAUUGAGAUCCUUGUCAGAUAUUCCUGGCCAUAUGUUUUCCUUUUUGUCAUAUUAAGAAUUGUUUUAAUUUAAUAUGUUCGUACGGAAAACAAGGAACAUUAUUCUCAUACAAAACAUUAAGAUAAUUCUAAAUACACAUUCAUAAAAAAAUGGAAUUUAUUACAAAGGAUAAUCAUAAGAUAUACUUGAAUUGUCCUGGACCUCACUUCUGUGAUGGGUAUAUGUUAAUGGAAUCCUUCUCUGAAUACGGGACAAACAUAUUAGUAGUGGUAGACCCCAAUGGCCAAUGAUCUUCAAUUUAUACCGAAUAUUGACUGU